GACAGAUGUCUCCAUCACAAACAUCAUACCGAUCCGCAGUACCGCUACCGCUCAACCGCUGAUUCUGUUUUUGUCGUAAAGUAAACGUAAACUCGUUAACAAAACCUUGCGGUUAAUGUUUGGGCAAUGGGAGUUCGGAAUGAAGAAGUCGUGCUGUGUUUCUUUCAGUAAAGAAAGAUUUGCAUAGAAAGGCGAAAUACUUCAUGAAUAAUUUUACGACAAGAAGCUGCAUAAUGAUACUACGACACACUUUGACAUGAGUAUAUCUGAAAUUCCAGUGAACCAGUCAGUUCACCAGCAACAGUUUCUAGUCCUGGCCAAAAGCCAGAAAACAAUGUAAGAAGAAACAUCAGCAAUUUAUCAUUGCAGGAUACCACAACAGAUUUGUACGUGCAUCACACAGGGUAAUCAAGCGUUUGCAGUCAGCAUACUCAGUAAUCUUGUUUCUAAAGACGAAAUGAAAUCCUUGAAGAUGUCUUGGGACUGUUGUCACUUUGUCCAACAGCGUCCUGGAAGAACUGCAACUUUGCAUCACCACAAUUUAAAACAUUCCAGCCACAGAGUUCCAGCACAGCAUAUCCUUUACAGGUAUGAGCUAACUACAUUUGAUAUAAAUUCACAGGUACAGGUUGUAGAUAAUGUAGAAGAACAGGAAAAAAAUAGAAACUGCUGCUGCUACUCAUUCACCUUAGGGAUUAAUAGGGGCCUUAAGGGAUUAAUAAUUCAGUAAUUUUUCCGCAAUUAUGUAAAGAUUUGCUAAAUUGAUUUUAUUUAAAGUAGUUAUGAAAAAAAAAUGUUCCUUCCGUUCCGUCCAGUCUUCCGGUCUUCGGGUGCCUAAGGAAUAUGUUGGAUAUCACUUGGUGGCUAAAAUUAUGUCUGCUAGAUGACGUGAGUGUCUUACUCAAGACAUCAUCAGUGUCAAGACGAAAUUCCGCCAUUUCUUAAACACUGAUUUGAUUGGAAACCAUGUUGAAAACGUAUCGUUUCGAUUGGAUACUUAAUAUGGCGUACUUUUCUUUCUUUAAAUUUUUAUUCGUAAAAAUGGUAUCUAUCUGGUAACAGCCUAUAAUUUCUACAUGGCAAUUUCAUCUGAUCAUGUGGCCUGAGCAGCUGAACAUUUUGCCAAAAUGUCGUGUCUUUUUCCCAGUUUCACGUUUGUCAGAAACACUUCAGAACAAUUCGGGAUUAACACCCUGGUGGAGUUUGAGCUUCUUUGUUGCUGCCCAACUUACACAUGGAUUUGACGCAGCCAGCUGAGGGCUUUUAUUCUUGUUGAUCAUGUAUGUUCGUGUAGUUGCUGUCCGAUGUGGCACGUUGUUGCAGCCUAUGCUGGUGAAAGUUCUUUCUACAUCAAGUUCAAUUGGCCGUUCCUUGGUGCUGAUGUUGUGUUACCGAAGUUGCAUCAUAUUUUGUUAAAUUGUCAUCGUGACUAUUGCAGUUUACCGUUUAUAAGUUCAGAAGCAACAAAAACAAAUAUGGGAUGUUUAUGUCAACAAAUAAUAAACAUGUUUCCGGGAUUGGGAAAGGAAAGUGGAGGAUGUUGGAGGGGGGAGGGAGGAUAUUUCAAGUUUGGAUAAAAAUUCAGUUAAUCUAUAACCCUACAAAUGUUGCCCCACCAAUUAAUCUCCAAACCCCACAAACAUAUACCUUCCAAUCCUUCAAACCCCGAAAACAUACACCUACUAACCCCUAAAUUUAUACCCUUAACCCUAAAAACCAAUGUUAAACCUUAACCAUGUGUAAUAAAUAAAAAUAAAUACGUUAUGUGAA